AAUUCGAUUGAGUUUGAUCAUGGCUCAGAAUGAACGUUGGCGGCGUGGAUUAGGCAUGCAAGUCGGACGGGCCGCAAGGCCAGUGGCGCAAGGGUGAGUAAGGCGACGGUAACCAACCCCGCGGGUGGGCAUAGCCGAGGGAAACUUCGGGUAAUUCCCGGCGACAUGACGACCCGGCAUCGGGAUGUCAUCAAAGGUUGAUCGCCGCGGGACGGGCCGUCGUGGUAUUAGCUUGUUGGCGGGGUGACGGCCCACCAAGGCCGCGAUGCCUACCGGGCGUGCGAGCGUGGCCCGGCACACUGGGACUGAGACACUGCCCAGACUCCUACGGGAGGCUGCAGUCGAGAAUCUUCGGCAAUGGGCGCAAGCCUGACCGAGCGACGCCGCGUGGAGGACGAAGGCCUUCGGGUUGUAAACUCCUGUCGAGGGGGAGGAAGGGGCAACCUUGACCGAUCCCUGGAGGAAGCACGGGCUAAGUUCGUGCCAGCAGCCGCGGUAAGACGAACCGUGCGAACGUUAUUCGGAAUCACUGGGCUUAAAGCGCGUGUAGGCGGGCCGCCGCGUCGGCUGCUGAAAUCCCCCGGCUCAACCGGGGAAGGGGCACCGAUACGGGUGGCCUGGAGGGGGGUAGGGGGGUCUGGAACUUCCGGUGGAGCGGUGAAAUGCGUUGAGAUCGGAAGGAACGCCCGUGGCGAAAGCGAGGCCCUGGACCCUUACUGACGCUGAGACGCGAAAGCCAGGGGA
rnacentral:rRNA from 1 species